ACCCCUAUAAAUGAAACUACACUUCACCGCCUCAAACAUUCGGCCAUUUUACCCGUGUCCAUUAAUCGUUGA
rnacentral:tRNA from 1 species